rnacentral:lncRNA from 1 species
AUGAAGUUCUUAUACUGAUUGAUCUCUCCAGAAGUGCUAGCUCAUGAAGAUAUCAUACUUUGACUGAUCUAAGAGGAACAUGAAGAAGAUGAAGAAUAAGGAGAUCUUCUCUUUGUUUUUCUAAAAUCAUGCAUUAGAUCUCUAUGAUAGAAAUCAAGAGAAGAAUCUUUUCUUUUCAAUUCUCUCAUGCACAAGAGAGAAUCUUUCUCUUCCUUUCACCUCUUUAAGAAGAACUUUUUUUCUUUGAUUUUUUAUGAUGAAAAUUAAAUCUAAGCUAAUUUCUCAUAUAAAAAAUAACAUAAAAUUUUAAGCUCUAGAAGAACCCAAA